ACGUUAUUAGUAUAAACUAUUAUGCUACUUUUCCAAAGUAGCGAUCUAUUAAUUUAGAUAACGUA
rnacentral:tRNA from 1 species